rnacentral:rRNA from 1 species
UACGUAGGUGGCAAGCGUUGUCCGGAUUUACUGGGCGUAAAGAGCGCGCAGGCGGUCGUUCAAGUCGAGUGUGAAAGCCCCCGGCUCAACUGGGGAGGGUCAUUCGAUACUGAUCGACUCGAAGGCAGGAGAGGGUAGUGGAAUUCCCGGUGUAGUGGUGAAAUGCGUAGAUAUCGGGAGGAACACCAGUGGCGAAGGCGACUACCUGCCUGUUCUUGACGCUGAGGCGCGAAAGCUAGGGGAGCAAACGGG